AGUCAGUUUCCUUUGUCAUGCAAUUGAAGUACCAGAGCUUAAAAUAUAAACUUUUUUAAAAUAGCCUACAUGUUUUAUUUCUAUUUUUCAUCUUCUUUCCUUCCUUUCCUUGUUUCUUCCACCUUCUCAUCUUCUGUGUCUCUUCGGGUUUUCUCUCUUCGCUGUCUCGUUCUCUAUUUUUGAGAUCAAUAUAUAUGACCGUAAACCAUGACUGGCCGUUGUAGGCUGGCGCUGUUUUUUCUUGUUUGGAUAUGAGAUUCUGACUCGAACAGAGAGAGAAAGAGAGAGAGAGAGAGAGUUUUUGUGAGAGUUUAUUCUGUUUGAUUUUGUGUUUAUUGGAUAGUUUUUGUUUCUUUGUUCUUUAAUGGCGAUGGACGAUAACGAGAGUUGUAGUAGCAGAGCUGUGGAGUCAUCACCAACCCAUCAUCGUCAGCAGAGACAGAAGCUUGUGGUUUAUAACGAGGUGCUUCGUAGACUCAAGGAAUCUAAUCAUGAAGAGGCUAAUCUUCCUGGUUUUGAUGAUGAGCUAUGGUCUCAUUUUAAUCGACUGCCGACGAGAUACGCUCUGGAUGUGAAUGCCGAGAGAGCAGAAGAUGUCCUCACACAUAAAAGAUUACUGCAACUCGCUCAUGACCCUGAUAACAGACCAGCAUUAGAUGUGCGCCUUGUGCAGGUUAUGCGUAAUGGAAAUUCAGUUGAUUCCAUCCACUCAAACUCUCCAAGAACUGAAGAUGUGCAGGGUUCUUCCAAUCAACCCAGGAGACAUAGCAUUCAUCCUCCUCCUGCAUUUGGUUCAUCACCUAAUCUAGAAGCCCUCGCACUUGAAGCUAGCAGAUCACAUGUUGAAGAUGGAGAUAGAUCUGUACAUGACAAUCCACAGUUCUCCCAGCCCAUGCAUGAAGUCACUUUUUCAGCCGAUGAUAAGCCAAAACUUCUUAGUCAGUUGACAUCAUUACUUGCUGAGCUUGGACUGAACAUCCAAGAGGCACAUGCUUUUUCCACAGUAGAUGGCUACUCCUUAGACGUCUUUGUUGUUGAGGGCUGGCAAUACGAGGAAACUGAGCAGCUUAGAAAUGCAUUGGAAAAAGGGAUUUUAAAGAUCAAGAAGCAAUCUUGGUCGACGCCGAAUACUUUGUCUUCUAUCUGCCAGCCUGGGCAAACUGCUUCUGAUCCCAUUCCUGAUCAUGUAAAAAUACCUACUGAUGGGACUGAUGUCUGGGAAAUUGAUAUCAGGAUGUUAAAAUUCGAAAACAAAGUUGCAUCUGGGUCCUAUGGUGAUCUGUAUAAAGGUACAUACUGUAGCCAGGAGGUGGCUAUUAAAGUCCUAAAGCCUGAGCGUGUGAACGAGAAUAUGCAGAGGGAGUUUGCCCAGGAAGUAUUUAUUAUGAGGAAAGUUCGCCACAAGAAUGUGGUGCAGUUCAUUGGUGCUUGUACCCGACCUCCAACCUUGUGCAUUGUUACAGAAUUUAUGUCUGGGGGAAGUGUGUUUGAUUUUCUGCAUAAACAAAAGGGCGUAUUUAAGCUUCCAUCCUUACUCAAAGUGGCAAUUGAUGUUUCCAAGGGAAUGGACUACUUGCAUCAGAACAAUAUAAUUCACAGAGACCUGAAGGCUGCCAAUCUUCUGAUGGACGAAAAUGAAGUUGUCAAGGUUGCUGACUUUGGAGUUGCCCGGGUACAAACUCAGUCUGGAGUGAUGACAGCAGAAACUGGAACAUACCGUUGGAUGGCUCCUGAGGUCAUAGAACACAAGCCGUAUGAUCACAAGGCUGACAUUUUCAGUUUUGGAAUUGUACUAUGGGAGCUGCUAACAGGGAAGAUCCCGUACGAAUUCUUAACUCCAUUACAAGCUGCCGUUGGAGUGGUGCAAAAGGGUCUACGGCCCACAAUUCCAAAGAACACUCAUCCAAAACUUGUUGAACUGCUUGAGAAAUGCUGGCAGCAAGACCCAAGCUUAAGACCAGACUUUUUUGAAAUUAUAGAGAUGCUACAGCGAAUAGCCAAGGAGGUUGGGGAUGAGAAGAAAUCUGAGAAAUCUGGUGGAUUCUUCUCAGUACUUAUACGGGGUCACCACUGACAUAGAACAAAGAGAUGGUGGUGCUGUUUAUAGUGUCUUCGUAUGGUCAUGUUUGGCCCGGUCUAUUUGGUUCUGUCAAUUUCAUAAAAGCCUAAACAAAAUCGAAAACGAGAGGGUUUGGUUUGGUCUGAUUUUGGUUGGUUCAAGCUUUUUGGACUGAAAAUUGACACCCUAAGUUUUCCUUGAGCUCAUUGGUCAUAAGAUUUAUGAAUAUAGAAAUUAGGUGCAAUAUGGGAUGUUGGGGAAUAUCUGGCCUAUUAACGAAAAACGGGAUGGCUAUUAGAAUUACUUCCCCAUUCAGACUAUGCGGUCAUGUCAAAUUAAUUUGAUGAUGAGUCCAAACAUUUUAUCUACCACAUAUGGGUCCUUUUUCAUAGAGAUGUAAAUGGAUAGUAUAUGCAUCCGAUUAAUUUUCAAACGAAUUUGGAAAGUUUUUGGAAGCUGAAUUUUUGAAUAUGGAUUUUCAUAUAAUAAAAAAUAUAGAUUUUUGACUA